UUAACUCGAGUUUGUAUGGGAACGUUUGCCUAGGUUUGCCACUAGGGGCGCUGUUCCAAAAGCAUCCAAAUUCGAGUUA
rnacentral:pre_miRNA from 1 species